rnacentral:lncRNA from 1 species
ACUCCGCCGUGCUCUAGCGACGGCGCCGCCGCCCGCGGCGGUGAUCUGCCUCAGGUUGGCUGUUUUCGGCCGAAUUCAGCCAAACUUGCAUCCGUUCCUAUGAGAAGAUACACUUAGGGCCCUCGGUGGGCCCAAAGAAACGUAAAAAAUUGAAACUCACCAGUGGUGGGGCUCUCCAGUGCGGCGGCUCCUCCGGUGUGGCGACUCCUCCGGCUCACGUUACGGUU